GACGUAGGGGGCAAGCGUUGUCCGGAUUUAUUGGGCGUAAAGAGCGUGUAGGCGGCCAGACAGGUCCGUUGUGAAAACUCGAGGCUCAACCUCGAGAUGUCGAUGGAAACCGUCUGGCUAGAGUCCGGAAGAGGAGUGUGGAAUUCCUGGUGUAGCGGUGAAAUGCGCAGAUAUCAGGAAGAACACCUAUGGCGAAGGCAGCACUCUGGGACGGUACUGACGCUGAGACGCGAAAGCGUGGGGAGCGAACAGG
rnacentral:rRNA from 1 species